rnacentral:rRNA from 1 species
GUAGGUGGCAAGCGUUGUCCGGGAAUUAUUGGGGCGUAAAGCGCGCGCAGGCGGUUCUUUAAGUCUGAUGUGAAAGCCCACGGGCUCAACCGUGGAGGGUCAUUGGAAACUGGAGAACUUGAGUACAGAAGAGGAAAGCGGAAUUCCACGUGUAGCGGUGAAAUGCGUAGAGAUGUGGAGGAACACCAGUGGCGAAGGCGGCUUUCUGGUCUGUAACUGACGCUGAGGCGCGAAAGCGUGGGGAGCAAACAGGAUUAGAUACCCUGGUAGUCCACGCCGUAAACGAUGAGUGCUAAGUGUUAGGGGGUUUCAGCCCCUUAGUGCUGCAGCUAACGCAUUAAGCACUCCGCCUGGGGAGUACGGCCGCAAAGGCUG